rnacentral:lncRNA from 1 species
AUAGAACCAAAAGAGCAAAGUUCAAUAUAAGAUAAUAAUAAAAAGGAAUAAUCACACCCAAAAAAAAAAAGUAAUAGGGAAAAUGCAAAGUUGCAAACAAUCAUAAAGAAGAAUAAAACUGUAAAAAAAAAAAAAAAAAAAAAAAAAAAAAAAAAAAAAAAAAAAGAAUAAAAACAGAAGCUGCUGUAUAAGGGCGUCGAACUCCU